rnacentral:rRNA from 1 species
CAGUAGCCACGGUAAUACGUAGGGUGCGAGCGUUAAUCGGAAUUACUGGGCGUAAAGCGUGCGCAGGCGGCUUUGCAAGACAGAGGUGAAAUCCCCGGGCUCAACCUGGGACCUGCAUUUGUGACUGUAUAGCUAGAGUACGGUAGAGGGGGAUGGAAUUCCGCGUGUAGCAGUGAAAUGCGUAGAUAUGCGGAGGAACACCGAUGGCGAAGGCAUCCCCUAGACCUGUACUGACGCUCAUGCACGAAAGCGUGGGGAGCAAACAGGAUUAGAUACCCCGGUAGUCCCUGUCUCUAAUACA